ensembl:lncRNA
CGAUAUAAAACCGACGUCGCUGCAUUAUGACGUCCUUCGUGGAGACGGUUCCGUAGCGGUAGCCUUUCCACCUCGACAUGAGAGCCAAGUGGAGAAAGAAGCGCAUGCGCAGGCUGAAGCGCAAAAGGAGAAAGAUGAGGCAAAGGUCCAAGUAAGCCGUCCCCUCCGCCAUGGCUGCGACAUCACAUGUUGCCAGGAACCAGACUGGUGAGCGCAGCCGGAGACUCGGGACUUCCAUGUGUCUGGUGUGAGGCCAGUUGCAUCCACCACACCCAACCAGAGGCAUCGAAGCAGCAGCUGACAGAAGACUGAUGUUGGAGAAGUGUUUCAACACCCGUCGGAUGUCAGGCUUUUCCUCUGGCACGUUCUGGACUCUUUUGCUUUUAAUUCCUCAACUUUUGUCAUUCGUUUUUGUUUAUACUGUGAUUAAAGGUUUUGGUUUAUAAAAUGAAUUUACAGAUUUCAUGUGUAUUUGUUCAGGUAACCUACAAGGUCACUUACUAACCAAACCUGGAAACAACACUGACUGAAGAGAGAAACUGGUAGUAGAAGAUGUAAUCUCCACUUGAACAUCAUUUGAACAUCACACAUAAAACUCAUGAUCCUGUGACACCAACUUCUGCUUCUGUUGCAGAAGAAAAAAGCUGCUUUGUCAUUGUUCAAGUUACAUUACUGAUUACUUGGUGAUGCAGUUGUUUAUGUGUGCUCGGAGGCAUUUUGGUUAUUCAUGCCAGUUUUAGUCACCGCUGAAAGUCCAAAUGUCAGAAGCUAAUAAUUAGUGAACAUUAGAGCAAGUAUGAAAUUAAAUAACAUAGUUUAUAGAUGACAAAAUAUUGCUAUUGGCUGGUUUGUUGUGAUGUGAUUGAUCACUUUUAAACGGAGACACCACAUGGAUAAAUUCUGUCUCAUCAGCUGGCACAUUUAGGAGCAAAUAAACUCAUUGACGAUUGUUUCAUUUGUUUGUAAUUUUUAUUUUUUUCAUUUUUUUUGUGCUAAGAUUGCAGUGGUUUGUAGAAAUCACAAGCAGACCAGAAAGGAGAUGCUGCUUAAUAUCUCUUGCAAGGAAAUAUUGGUGUCUUUAUGAUCACAGACAGAAUGCAAUAACGAAAAGACAACUGUAAAUACUAAAAUAUGCAUGUCAGAAUGUGGAAAGUUAUAAAAUGAUUUGCAUAUAGUGAUAAUGGUGAGAAUAUAGCUGCAAGAGUAGUGGGAUUAUUAAAAUUUAUUGCACUUAUUGCAACAUUUUGAGCUUGAUCUCUGCAUUUCUUGGAAUCUCACAUCACACUGAAAUCUCGCAGUAUUUUAAACAUAUAAGACGUUGUUGCCUUCAGUCCAUGUGACUCACAGAACCUGUCUGUUGUCAUGUUCUUCAUGCAGCAUAUCUGUGUGCACAAGUGAUCAUCUAACUCUUCACCCUCCGAGCAAAUACAGAUAACCGGCCGUAUCCAGGCAACAGGGAGGCUAUUUAAAGCUUGCCUGUUUUCUAGAAAGGCAUAAAUGAGGCUAUUAAUGAGAGCCGACAGUGAAAACACCAUGGAUACCAAAUUCUGCAGUAUGUUGUUUUUU